GACGAACGCUGGCGGCGUGCUUAACACAUGCAAGUCGAACGAUGAAGCCGGAGCUUGCUCUGGUGAAUUAGUGGCGAACGGGUGAGUAACACGUGAGUAACCUGCCCUUGACUCUGGGAUAACUGCGGGAAACUGUAGCUAAUACCGGAUACGACCCUCGGAGGCAUCUCCUGGGGGUGGAAAGAAUUUCGGUCAAGGAUGGACUCGCGGCCUAUCAGCUAGUUGGUGAGGUAAAGGCUCACCAAGGCGACGACGGGUAGCCGGCCUGAGAGGGUGACCGGCCACACUGGGACUGAGACACGGCCCAUACUCCUGCGGGCGGCAGCAGUGGUGAAUAUUGCGCAAUGGGCGCAAGCCUGAUGCAGCAACGCAGCGUGAGGGAUGACGGCCUUCGGGUUGUAAACCUCUUUUAGCAGGGAAGAAGCGAAAGUGACGGUACCUGCAGAAAAAGCACCGGCUAACUACGUGCCAGCCGCCGCGGUAA
rnacentral:rRNA from 1 species